rnacentral:lncRNA from 1 species
GCUACACAGAGAAACCCUGUCUCGGGAAAAAAAAAAAAAAAAAAAAAAAAAAAAAAAAAAAAAAAAAAAAGGCCUUUGGCCAAUGACUUAGUCAGGAAAUAAGAGGUGGGAUAUCUUGGAGGAGAAAGAAUUCUGAGAUAGAGCCAGGUCAGAGGUUUGCCUGGGAAGAUGUAAGGAGAGCCCUGAUAACUAGCCAAAAGGCAGAAUGUAGGUUAAAAUAAAUGCAUUAUCUUUAGUUGUGAUUUAGUCAAAGUAGAGUUUAGCUAUAGGGCCAAGGUAUUUGUAGAUAUAUUUCCCAGUCUGGAUCUUAUUUCUGGGAGCAUGAGACUUGGAGGAAGAACCACACCUAACUUCUACACUCAAGAGCUGGUUCUCUCAGUGUUCUUUGGUAUUUUCUUGAGUCCUGCCUGGCUCCCCUCUCUUUCAUCCACUUUUCUUUUUUUAUACUCUCUCAUAAAGUGAUCUUGACAAUCCAACUAGUUUUGUGUACUUUUGGUUACUUAUAAAUCCCAUCCUGAUCCACUUUACCACACUACACUUCAGAUUUUCAAUCGCUACUGUCUGUUCACCUUGUUCUCUGCAUAGAUACAUGUCCUCAAACAUAAUCAUUGAACCGAAUUUGACAUAUUACUCCCAUAUUCAUACUCCUAUUUUCCACACUUUGGAGGCAUGUAGGAGCACAAACUAAAAACAUUAGAAUCAUUCCUUAAUAACCAGUCCACUAAUGAGUCAACACUUUUUUUAAGGCCAGUUUUAAUGAUUUCUUCCUUGACACAAUUAAAUUUCCUUGCCUUACAUCUGGAUGCUAGCAAGUACCUCCUGCUUAAUGUAAUGUUGUGUGCUAAGGAUUACAAAUGUGAAAACAUCUACUCUUCAUCCUCAUGGCAGAGUUCAAGCUGUACAUACAAAGCAUAAGGUUUGCUUAUAUGCUUACCUUUCCUGCUCUCUAGCCUUGCAUGUGAGCAUCCCACACACAGCCCUACCUUCUGUAGAGCUGAGCCUACUUUGUCCAUUUCUUGUUCUGGUCUAUGUUCUCAUAAGACCAUCCCUUGCCAUGGAGGACCAGGUUGAAUGAGGUAGCAUUUAUGCCAUAGCUCAUGUUAUCUUCAUGGGUUAAGAACCUCUCUUGCCAUCCCUCAGUACACUAUGCAUCUCUCUGUGUGCAGCAGUUAAGUGCUUUAUAAUAACCAUUGGUUUUUCUUACAAGCAUUAAUAUGCUCUGAAAUACAGAAGGCAGUAAUGAGUGUAUAAGUCAAAACAACUGGUUCCUAAGGCUGAUUUGAUUAACGUUCCCUAAAUAAAGUAAUGUUUACCUCAUAGCUUCAUUUUGAAAUAGCAUUAGAGAAUUGAUUUUGUAGUUCAUGUCUUUAUUAACAAGCUUAUAUCAUAGAUUGGGACGUCACAGAUUCACUUAGCUUCAAAAGCUAAUGUCUAAAUUGCAGGAAUUUGAUCACCUGCACAACUGGUUUUGAAGAAAAUGCUCUUUUCCCUAUUUGUCCUUCAAAGAAACUUCUUCAAGCUCUGGGGUUGUACCUUUUCUUGUACUAACUGAUUUUUCUCAGUGUUGGUUAAUACAAGACCACUGUGCUUUGGUGACUGGGAAUGUGUGUGUGUGUGUGUGUGUGUGUGUGUGUGUAAUAUAAGGAUUGAAAUAGUUGACAGCCGUAGAGUUGUUAGAUCUACAGCCCUCCACAGAAUCCCCUAGUGAAUGUUCCUAUUCCUUGCUUAUAAUACAGUAGGGAUAUUGAUGUAAUGUAGUUAAUAAUAUAGUAAAUGUUAUAUAAUGCAGAAAUAUAGAUGCUAGAAAGGCUUCUGGCAGUUUAACAACAUCCUUUCAUGAUUAAAAACUCCAAAAAAAAGCUAAAAAUAGAAGAAACAUACCCUGAUAUAAUAAUGGCUUUAUAGGUCCCAUCUAUAAUUUACAUUAUACCUAAUAAGAAAAAAGAGAGAGAGAGUUUCUCAUUUGAAACAUACAAAGGUGCCCACUCUCUUCAUUCUUGCUCAGCCCAGUGCUUGAACUCUUAGAUAGAGCAGUAAAACAAGAGAAAGGAAUAAAGACU